rnacentral:rRNA from 1 species
ACUGAUAUGAAGAGCUUGCUCGGAUUUGAAGAUGAACAUUGCAAAGAGUGGCGAACGGGUGAGUAACACGUGGGAAACCUACCUCUUAGCGGGGGAUAACACUUGGAAACAAGUGCUAAUACCGCAUAAUACUGAUAACCGCAUGGUUAUCAGUUGAAAGAUGGUUCUGCUAUCACUAAGAGAUGGUCCCGCGGUGUAUUAGCUAGUUGGUAAGGUAAUGGCUUACCAAGGCAAUGAUACAUAGCCGAGUUGAGAGACUGAUCGGCCACAAUGGGACUGAGACACGGCCCAUACUCCUACGGGAGGCAGCAGUAGGGAAUCUUCCACAAUGGACGAAAGUCUGAUGGAGCAACGCCGCGUGUGUGAUGAAGGGUUUCGGCUCGUAAAACACUGUUGUAAGAGAAGAAUGACAUUGAGAGUAACUGUUCAGUGUGUGACGGUAUCUUACCAGAAAGGAACGGCUAAAUACGUGCCAGCAGCCGCGGUAAUACGUAUGUUCCAAGCGUUAUCCGGAUUUAUUGGGCGUAAAGCGAGCGCAGACGGUUGUUUAAGUCUGAAGUGAAAGCCCACAGCUUAACUGUGGAAGUGCUUUGGAAACUGGAUAACUUGAGUGCAGUAGAGGAGAGUGGAACUCCAUG